AGUGAACGCUGGCGGUGGGCCUAACACAUGCAAGUCGAACGGCAGCACAGUAAGAGCUUGCUCCUAAGGGUGGCGAGUGGCGGACGGGUGAGGAAUACAUCGGCAUCUACUUUUUCGUGGGGGAUAUCGUGAAGACACUUACGCUAAUACCGCAUACGACCUACGGGUUAGAGCAGGGGUUCUUCAGACCUUUCGCGAUUGAAUGAGACGAUGUCGGAUUAGCUAGUUGACGGGGUAACGGCCCACCAAGGCAACGAUCCGUAGCUGGUCUGAGAGGAUGAUCAGCCACACUGGAACUGAGACACGGUCCAGACUCCUACGGGAGGCAGCAGUAGGGAAUAUUGGGCAAUGGGCGCAAGCCUGAUCCAGCAACACCGCGUGGGUGAUGAAGGUCUUCGGGUUGUAAAGCCCUUUUGUUGGGAAAGAAAAGAUGCAUGUUUAUACACCGCCGUUCUGACGGUACCCAAACAAAAAGCACCGGCUAACUUCGUG
rnacentral:rRNA from 1 species